rnacentral:rRNA from 1 species
GAUGAACGCUGGCGGCGUGCCUAAUACAUGCAAGUCGAGCGAACGGACGAGAAGCUUGCUUCUCUGAUGUUAGCGGCGGACGGGUGAGUAACACGUGGAUAACCUACCUAUAAGACUGGGAUAACUUCGGGAAACCGGAGCUAAUACCGGACAAUAUUUUGAACCGCAUGGUUCAAAAGUGAAAGACGGUCUUGCUGUCACUUAUAGAUGGAUCCGCGCUGCAUUUGCUAGUUGGUAAGGUAACGGCUUACCAAGGCAACGAUGCAUAGCCGACCUGAGAGGGUGAUCGGCCACACUGGAACUGAGACACGGUCCAGACUCCUACGGGAGGCAGCAGUAGGAAAUCUUCCGCAAUGGGCGAAAGCCUGACGGAGCAACGCCGCGUGAGUGAUGAAGGUCUUCGGAUCGUAAAACUCUGUUAUUAGGGAAGAACAUAUGUGUAAGUAACUGUGCACAUCUUGACGGUACCUAAUCAGAAAGCCACGGCUAACUACGUG